UACAGAGGGGGCAAGCGUUGUCCGGAAUUACUGGGCGUACAGCGCGCGCAGGCGGUCAUGGACGUGCCGUGUGACAGACGUCGGCUCAACCGACGUAGGCCAGGGUACACGACAUGACUGGAGACAGAGAGAGGAAUGUGGAAUACCCGGUGGAGCGGUGAAAUGCGUAGAGACCCGGAGGAACACCAGUGGCGAAGGCGGCUUCCUGGUCUGCGACUGACGCUGUGGCGCGAAAGCUAGGGGAGCAAACAGG
rnacentral:rRNA from 1 species